rnacentral:lncRNA from 1 species
AUCCAUAAUGGCCUAAAACUCAAAGCAGUGUAAAAGUUUAUCAAUGAUAGAUGAAUAGGGAGUAUUCUAAAUAUUACACGGAACUAAAAACUAAUGAACUCUAGGUACAGACAACAUCAAUAAAUCUGAAACNNNNNNNNNNACUGAAUUCAGGGAGCAUUCAUCUGGCCUAGGAAACUAAUUCAAUUCAGAACAACUUGAUGCUUUCAUUAUCUCUUCACUAAACCUGGAUGUCAGUUCCAUUUUAUAAGUGUUU